GACGAACGCUGGCGGCGUGCUUAACACAUGCAAGUUGAACGGAAAGGCCUGCUUUCCCUUGUGGAUUGCGGGUACUCGAGUGGCGAACGGGUGAGUAACACGUGAGUGAUCUGCCCCCAACUUGGGUAUAAGCCUGGGAAACUGGGUCUAAUUCCCGAUAGGACUGCAGGGUGGUGCCUGUGGUGGAAAACGAUUUUCUAGUGGUUGGGGAUGAGCUCGCGGCCUAUCAGCUUGUUGGUGGGGUAAUGGCCUACCAAGGCGGCGACGGGUAGCCGGCCUGAGAGGGUGGACGGCCACAUUGGGACUGAGAUACGGCCCAGACUCCUACGGGAGGCAGCAGUGGGGAAUAGUGCACAAUGGGCGGAAGCCUGAUGCAGCGACGCCGCGUGGGGGAUGACGGCCUUCGGGUUGUAAACUCCUUUCGACCGCGAGGAAGCCACCUGGUUGGAAGGGUGGUGACGGUAGUGGUAGAAGAAGCACCGGCUAACUACGUG
rnacentral:rRNA from 1 species